rnacentral:rRNA from 1 species
CGAAGCGUGCGAUUGGAUUGCACGUCUAAGCAGUAAGGCUGAGUAUUAGGCAAAUCCGGUACUCGUUAAGGCUGAGCUGUGAUGGGGAGAAGACAUUGUGUCUUCGAGUCGUUGAUUUCACACUGCCGAGAAAAGCCUCUAGAUAGAAAAUAGGUGCCCGUACCGCAAACCGACACAGGUAGUCAAGAUGAGAAUUCUAAGGUGAGCGAGCGAACUCUCGUUAAGGAACUCGGCAAAAUGACCCCGUAACUUCGGGAGAAGGGGUGCUCUUUAGGGUUAACGCCCAGAAGAGCCGCAGUGAAUAGGCCCAAGCGACUGUUUAUCAAAAACACAGGUCUCUGCUAAACCGUAAGGUGAUGUAUAGGGGCUGACGCCUGCCCGGUGCUGGAAGGUUAAGAGGAGUGGUUAGCUUCUGCGAAGCUACGAAUCGAAGCCCCAGUAAACGGCGGCCGUAACUAUAACGGUCCUAAGGUAGCGAAAUUCCUUGUCGGGUAAGUUCCGACCCGCACGAAAGGCGUAACGAUUUGGGCACUGUCUCAACGAGAGACUCGGUGAAAUCAUAGUACCUGUGAAGAUGCAGGUUACCCGCGACAGGACGGAAAGACCCCGUGGAGCUUUACUGUAGCCUGAUAUUGAAAUUCGGCA